AGGAAUCUGCCUAUUAGUGGGGGACAACAUUUCGAAAGGAAUGCUAAUACCGCAUACGUCCUACGGGAGAAAGCAGGGGAUCUUCGGACCUUGCGCUAAUAGAUGAGCCUAAGUCGGAUUAGCUAGUUGGUGGGGUAAAGGCCUACCAAGGCGACGAUCUGUAGCGGGUCUGAGAGGAUGAUCCGCCACACUGGGACUGAGACACGGCCCAGACUCCUACGGGAGGCAGCAGUGGGGAAUAUUGGACAAUGGGCGCAAGCCUGAUCCAGCCAUGCCGCGUGUGUGAAGAAGGCCUUAUGGUUGUAAAGCACUUUAAGCGAGGAGGAGGCUACUGAAGUUAAUACCUUCAGAUAGUGGACGUUACUCGCAGAAUAAGCACCGGCUAACUCUGUGCCAGCAGCCGCGGUUAUACAGAGGGUGCAAGCGUUAAUCGGAUUUACUGGGCGUAAAGCGCGCGUAGGCGGCUAAUUAAGUCAAAUGUGAAAUCCCCGAGCUUAACUUGGGAAUUGCAUUCGAUACUGGUUAGCUAGAGUGUGGGAGAGGAUGGUAGAAUUCCAGGU
rnacentral:rRNA from 1 species